rnacentral:rRNA from 1 species
CCGCAUAAUCUCUACGGAGGAAAGUGGGGGAUCUUCGGACCUCAUGCUGAAAGAUGAGCCUAUGUCAGAUUAGCUUGUUGGUGGGGUAAUGGCCUACCAAGGCGACGAUCUGUAGCUGGUUUGAGAGAACGAUCAGCCACACUGGGACUGAGACACGGCCCAGACUCCUACGGGAGGCAGCAGUGGGGAAUAUUGGACAAUGGGCGCAAGCCUGAUCCAGCAAUGCCGCGUGUGUGAAGAAGGCCUGCGGGUUGUAAAGCACUUUCAGUUGGGAGGAAAGGUUUAAGUUUAAUACGCUUGAACUGUGACGUUACCAACAGAAGAAGCACCGGCUAACUCUGUGCCAGCAGCCGCGGUAAUACAGAGGGUGCAAGCGUUAAUCGGAAUUACUGGGCGUAAAGCGCGCGUAGGCGGUUUGUUAAGUCGGAUGUGAAAUCCCUGGGCUCAACCUGGGAACUGCAUUCGAAACUGACUGACUAGAGUAUGGUAGAGGGGUGGGUGGAAUUCCUAGUGUAGCGGUGAAAUGCGUAGAUAUUAGGAGGAACAUCAGUGGCGAAGGCGACCACCUGCACCAAUACUGACGCUGAGGUGCGAAAGCGUGGGGAGCAAACA